CCUGACUUGCCGCUCUGCCUUCCAGUUCCCACGAAAAAGGAAAAAAGAAAACUCAAGAGCCCAGGCUUAUCUAGAAACCUCGCUAACCCUCGAGGCCUCGAGUAGCUAUGAAGCAGCGAGGCGACGACGGUGCCGACGGCGCAGCUGCUUUCGCCGGCUGCCUGGAUUGCAGGUCCUCCGACCAUUGCUUUUUGCGGUAAAGAGACCCUUUCCAUACUAUCCUUCGCUUUUCGAUUGUGUCGAUGUUGUAGCUUUCGUGCCGGCAGGGAGGCAACGCCGCCGCCGCCGCCGACAGUGACGACGCUGCUGCCGCCUUCGGUUUCUAACUCCUUCGAUCAUCGCUUUUCUGAGUUGUUUGUGUUUUGGAAUCAAGGUGCACAUUUGCAUGAAUUGGAUCUUUUAGCGACCAGACCAUAUAGGUACAAACUUAGUUCCAUGGCUUCCGAUGACACUGCUGAAAUGUGAAUGUUCUGUUUCGACGACGUUGCCAAGAAAAUUGUUGGGAAAUCAUACAACUCUCCUAUCAUCAGUUACAGGGACUUCAACUAUCCUACUAGAUUUAACAUUGAUCGUAUCUCUUAAAUUCACAUUUGUAGUUGUGUACAACCAAAUAUCAUUUGUGGAUUUAGAGAAAGAACUCUUCAUGAAGUCAUUCAUAGCAUCAUAUGGAAGAAAUGUCAUUGCCAUCACCCAGAUGAAACAUUCCACUAUCUGUCAACUCCAACAAAACUAUUGUCUAGACCAAAACAAUCAUUCUCCAAAUUAACAGGAUAGUCCUGGAGAUGAAGGCCAGGACCUACCGUCGUUUGAGUCACCAUAAAAAAGGCUAGGCAGAAAUCCUUAAAGUUCAAUUAUGAGGAAAAUGUACUCGACAACUAUAAAUAAAAGGCACUUGAAGUUCAAAGUUAAGGCCCUGUUUGGGAACAAAGUUUUUGGAAACCACAGUUUUUGAAAUACUACAGUAUACUUUAGUCAUGACAAUACCACAAUUUAAAAUACUAUAGUUUUAGAAUACCACAGUAUUGGAUACAUAGAGGUGUUUGGAAGCAAAGUAUUUUUUUGCACGCGGUAGAGAUGCGCGCGCUGCGUUUUACAGAGAAAACUGAGGUAUAAACCUAAGUUUAGAAUACUUCAAAAGAGUUGCAGUAUUUGUAAUACUUUAGUUUUGAAAACAGAGAUUUUAGCUGGCUUGCCAAACACCUUUUGGUAUAUAAUACUACAGUUUUUGAGAAUACUGCAGUAUUCUUCCAAAACUUUGAAAAAACUUCACUCCCAAACACCCCCUAAGCAUUUGAAACACAGCCAGAUCUAUAUAACUUAUGUCUUAUUUGAAAAAACAAUAUUCCGAUAUCUUUUGUCUAUACAUCCUAAUAUAUGUACAAUUAAGUGCUACCAAGAGCCUAAAGCUCCACCUAUUAUGUAAUGACCAUGUAUUUAUGUAAUACAUGAUGAUCCA